AUAAAUAUCACAAUAGUGCGAGGGCCGUAUGUUAGGUAACUUUUACGGUUAAUGCGUUUUUUCCCUCGUGAAAUGAAUUUUCUAUUCUAUUCUACUCUAAUCUAUUCUAUUCUAUUCUAUUCUAUUCUAUUCUAUUGCAUUCUAUUAUAUUCUAUUCUAGCAAGAAAAAACUGAACGGCAAUUCAUCUUUUGAGUCUUAAACCUUCUCUAAACUCGAACAAUGCAUUAAAAUAGCCGGUUUUUGUUAUACCUACUCGUCAACUGAAAUUCCAAAUUUUAAUAUAACUUCUGUUUGAAAGUA